rnacentral:lncRNA from 1 species
GGAACUUAGAAGUUUCAAAUGACCCUCCAACACUAUGUAGACUGAGGAGCCUCUGACCAACUCAGCUUCUGAAAAAAAUCCAAACCUGUCCCUGCAGUUUCGGCUGUGCUGUUUCCGGAGUCAAGUAUUGAGGUUGAAGGAGGCUGAUUAGGCCUGGUCUGUGGCAGAAUGGUGCCCAAGCAGGGACCUCUGGACAGUCUGGGAUGUCUUUGGCAUCUUCAUCUGCAUACCUUCUUUUGCUGCAGGAACACUCUGCUUGGAGUCACUGCCUGUGUUGAAGUGGGCUCUGCAGUGAAAUAGCUGUUGGGAAGUUACCCAAGCUCCUCUGCCUGGAGUCAUGGCCUCAGCCAUGGCCUUGUGGAUAUUUUCUAGCUCACAUAAACAAUCCUGAGAGAACAUUCGUGGUCGUAACAGCAAGAAAGUUUAUGGGAAAAGAGGACACUGUGACUGUUGGUUCCAGGAGCUGAAGAUUGCCACCUGACCUUCAGAGAGCCCCCAGUCUCUCCCACUCCCCACCCCCCAUCCCUUGGAGCCUCCUCUUGCUUAUGCUUAUAUUGCCACUCCUGAAUAAAGUUUUCAGAGCUUGAUCAGUA